UCCAGACUCCUACGGGAGGCAGCAGUGGGGGAUAUUGCACAAUGGGGGGAACCCUGAUGCAGCGACGCCGCGUGAGGGAAGACGGUUUUCGGAUUGUAAACCUCUGUCUUUAGGGACGAAACAAAUGACGGUACCUAAAGAGGAAGCCACGGCUAACUACGUGCCAGCAGCCGCGGUAAUACGUAGGGAGCAAGCGUUGUCCGGAAUUACUGGGCGUAAAGGGCGCGUAGGUGGGUGCUUAAGUCAGGUGUGAAAACUCUGGGCUCAACCUGGAGACUGCACUUGAAACUGGGUAUCUUGAGGGCAGGAGAGGAAAGUGGAAUUCCUAGUGUAGCGGUGAAAUGCGUAGAUAUUAGGAGGAACACCAGUGGCGAAGGCGACUUUCUGGACUGUACCUGACGCUGAGGCGCGAAAGCGUGGGUAGCGAACGGGAUUAGAUACCCGUGUACAU
rnacentral:rRNA from 1 species